AAACGCCAACCGAGAGGGGAGAACGAAUGGCUCAGGAAUCGACCGGUUCCGAGCAGACUCGUGGUAAUGAAAUUGGAUUAUCGUAGAAUAAGAGGAGCCGUUUUAGGAAAUGACUUAACUUAAAAGACAGAUGCCGCCCCAGCUCGACUCGAGACCAAGACUCCUUACAACUCGUACCAAUAGCGGCACUGAGCGGCCGGAGAUUGAUUGAAAAGGCAGCCCAGCCAGCCCGCCCCCUUUAGUGAUAGUGAUAAAGAGCACACACACACCUCCCCUGACCCACUAAUCAUCAUCUCAUCUGGCGCGAAGCAAAAAGAAGGUUGAGAAGUUGUUCCAACCAAAGAUAUUCCAUAUGUAA